CCACGUUCAAGUCCAGCCGACGGGACGGGCUCCCGGCCACGGGGCUCUCCAGGCCCUUUCCAGCGCGGCCUUUUGUUCGCGCUCUGACAAUCGGGCUUUAUCCAGCAGCCCCAACUGUCUUCCACCCCCCCCCCCCGCCCAUCCCUCCCGGCUUUCUUCCCUCCUUGGCACCGUUUCGCUGCCUUGCCUGCAAACUUCGCCGCUCGGUGUUUCUUGGUUCUCUAAGCACUCAAAUCACCCUCUUUCCACACACACACACAUAUUUCGAUAGAUAUUCCCAGCCUGGGUAUCUCUCCUUCUCCCACUCCAGGGCUGCGCAGGGUAAGAGAGAGAGAGAUGGCUCGCUCCGCCGCGCCCGGGUCCUCCUGCCUGGGUCCCAUCCGACGGGGAGGGCUUUGGGAAGGCCGUUUGCUCUGCGAGUAAUGGGCAAUCUUUUAAAAAAAGAAAGAAAGAAACUUUCUAAAGCAGGAGAGCCCCCCCCCCCGAAAUAAUGCAGGCAAGACAGACCCGUGAGCGCCCCCCCUCCCUCCCCACAGCCAAGAGAGACCCAAGACGGCGUCCAGGUGGAAAGGUCGCUGUCCAGGAGCCAUGGUGCUGAAACGUCAGGAAACCCCAGGAGCAGGCUGAUAAAGAUAACACCCCUUCUUCAGCAUUUUUUUUAAAGGCGAGCAUGCAGCAGCAGACUCUAGAUAUCAUCACACGGCUUUCCAUUGAGAUCCAAGCCUGAAAACUGCACUAGAUAUCCUCCAAUGAAUGCAACGUGGACAGCCUACCACCAUUGAUCUCUGCAAGAUCCAUGUGUUUACAUGCACAGUAUUUAAUUUCAGAAUUUCUGUGUCCAUGUGGGUCUGGGGAAGGGAAAGGUUUUGAGCCACCCAUUUCCUGGUUGUAAAUUCUGCAGCCAUUGACUGGAUGUAUUUAUUCAGUCAUUGCUUAUGCGCUAUCCUGGGAGGACUUUGGGGUUCUAUGCAAAUUUUUUACUAGCCCAAACCAGGCCCUGUGUGAAAAGAAAAGAAAUUAGCCAGCUUUUUCAUUUUGGGCAUCAAAGUAUCUGGCAAGCUGAUACACACCCCAUGCACACAAUCAUGCAUACCCAGGUCAGAGGCCGUACCCAGGUAUGUAUGGCGGUGUGAAUGAGGUGACAAUCUGUCUAAUUGUUUUGAAGUGCUCCCGAAAUUUUUGUUAUGUCAUUGUUUUAACUACCGAAUAUUUGAGUUGAAUAUGUUGGCUAUGGCUGUGGAUAAACAAAUAAACUGAUUGAUUGAUUGAUUGA